UACAGAGGUCCCAAGCGUUGUUCGGAUUCACUGGGCGUAAAGGGUGCGCAGGUGGGUUUGCAAGUUCGAUGUGAAAGCCCCGGGCUUAACCCGGGAAUGGCAUUGGAUACUGCAGAUCUGGAGGAUCGGAGGGGGGACUGGAAUUCUUGGUGUAGCAGUGAAAUGCGUAGAUAUCAAGAGGAACACCAGUGGCGAAGGCGAGUCCCUGGACGAUACCUGACACUGAGGCACGAAAGCCAAGGGAGCAAACAGGA
rnacentral:rRNA from 1 species